ensembl:snRNA U2 U2 spliceosomal RNA
AAUGCUUCUUAGCCUUUUGGCUUAGAUCAAGUAUAGUAUUUGUUUUUAUCAGUUUAUGUCUGAUAUGUCCUCUGUUGCAGGACAAUAUAUUAAUGGGUUUAUGCAGCAGGGCAAUAGAAUAGGAGCUUGCUCUGCACACUUUAUGCAUCAACCUGUCAACCUGGUGUCAUGAUACUACUAGGGAAGGUGCACUCCCU